rnacentral:rRNA from 1 species
UACGGGGGGGGCAAGCGUUGUUCGGAAUUACUGGGCGUAAAGGGCUCGUAGGCGGCCCACUAAGUCAGACGUGAAAUCCCUCGGCUUAACCGGGGAACUGCAUCUGAUACUGGAUGGCUGGAGUUCGGGAGAGGGAUGCGGAAUUCCAGGUGUAGCGGUGAAAUGCGCAGAUAUCAGGAGGAACACCGGUGGCGAAGGCGGGGCUCUGGGCCGAUACUGACGCUGAGGAGCGAAAGCGUGGGGAGCGAACAGG